UACAGAGGUCUCAAGCGUUGUUCGGAUUCAUUGGGCGUAAAGGGUGCGUAGGUGGCGCGAUAAGUCGGGUGUGAAAUCUCGGAGCUUAACUCCGAAAUUGCAUUCGAUACUGCCGUGCUCGAGGACUGGAGAGGAGACUGGAAUUCAUGGUGUAGCAGUGAAAUGCGUAGAGAUCAUGAGGAAGACAAGUGGCGAAGGCGGGUCUCUGGACAGUUCCUGACACUGAGGCACGAAGGCCAGGGGAGCAAACGGG
rnacentral:rRNA from 1 species